rnacentral:lncRNA from 1 species
AGCCGGUUUGCGCGAGGCAUAUUCUAAUGCCGUGUUCUUCGCGUUUAGGGUUUUGUUUCGAGGGGGCGAUGGAGAGGAGGGAUUCGCUGCUGGUCAUGGCGCUGAUUUUUGUACUGUGCUUCGUCGUCAUGGCAGUGCGUAUGCCAGUUCCUCCUUCAUCGGUCACAGGUUUGUGGAUCUUGCUCGAUAUUUCGCGGAAUUUUUUUGAUUUUGCUAGUGCUAGACGGCGCCGAGGCCAGGAGCGAUGUUACCAGGAGCCACAUCUUAGCUGAGAUGGAGAAAUUGCGGAUCCAGGGCAAGAAGUACACGCCGCGAUACUACAAGCCGGGCGCAUUCGCUGCUAAUGCCGCCAGUGGCAAGCAAGGGAUCCGGCGACGCAAAUCUUCUUCUUCUCCAGCAGAAUAAAAUUCCGGGUGAGCCGAUCGCCUGCAUUGCACCAUCGUGUAGAUAUAUGACCGCUGCAUCCAUGUAUAAUAUUUUUCUUUCUAAGUCUUUGAUGGAGGAUUGGUGACACCGAUCUUCUCACUUUUGGAUUCUCUUUAGAAAUUUUUGCUAGGAUAGGUAGGGUGCAUCUCUUUCACUGCGAGCUUCCUAGCGCUUGCCGUGAUUCUUUUCUAGUGAAAGAGUACAAGCAUUUUCUACUGCCUGUCAUCUUCAAGCUGCUACAGGCACAGCCAUCACUGACUCGUUUUCCAGCGCUGGCCUUUUCACGACUUUGGCAGAAGACCAGAGAUCAAGGAUCACGUACAGGGGACUACCGACCAAGAGUACUGCGAGCUGGAUCCAGACUUGAAGUGCGAUC